rnacentral:misc_RNA from 1 species
UAGGCAUUGGGAAGGCUAAG